rnacentral:lncRNA from 12 species
AUUACUUCCAAAUGAAACAAUCUUGAACUACUCUAUUUUGAGUGAUUUCAGGAAGUUGAAAAAGUUGAGGUGAUUAUUCUUUUUACAAGCUGGCUGUGCAGUUACAGACCACAGUCGAAAAGUUUGAAUUCCUUGUCAAAAUCCAAAGUGGUUUUAGUUAAAAUAUAUUGCCUAACUUACCCAAUCCAUCAUCUUCUGAAUUAAUGCCAUGGAAACAUCUAGGAUUAUUAAUUAUUAGGACCACACUUCAGAGCAGGGGAGGACACAACAUGGGCAUGAAGUACUUGAACGUUACCAGUACUUUGCUACAGGAAGGAAGCCGUCACCCCUGGAUCGCGUGCUACCGUCAGGAAGAUGGGUUAGGGAGUGCCGAGCAUAAAGAAACAGCCAAGAAGAUGCAAAACCAAGAGCCUGUCAACCAUUGCUGCAGUUACGGACACCUGGAAAAAUUGAGGCUUGUGCUCACCAUCCGAGCAUCUCUGGAAAAUGACUUCCGGAUUCAAGGAUCAGAUUCAUCUAUCUCAACCUGAGUGUCCGGAGGGAGGAACGCUGAAGUUUCAAGGAAGACGGUCUAGAGACCCCACCACCUCAGGGUGGUACCGCUGGAGAAUGAGACAUGGCUCCCACUUCUCACAGAAGGUAUCUACUUUUCAUCCUGGGCCAAAAUGGGGCAGGAUCUUCUCCAUUGCUCUCCUCAUCUUCAGCUCCUUCUUUUUUUUUUUUUUUUUUGUCUGCAUAAGAGUCACAAGCACUUCAGGCUCGGUAGCAAACCAAAGAUGGGUAGGGAGUUAAUCUUAAAGCAACUUCUGCUCUUGCUGGCAACGCCAAUGCUCCUGAGUCAGCUGAGCAGAAAGGCCUAACUACCUGCUUCAGAUGGGAGCAAACAAGUGUAUCUAAGGACCAGACUCAAACUAUCAGCCUGGUGCGUUUUCCUGCCAGCUCAUUAUAAAUCCUUCCCACUGAGGGCCUUUGCUGACAUCCUGUCAGAUCUGGGACUGUCCCCUUCUGUUUGUUUACUCAUAAAAGACAACAUAUAAGUCUUCCCAGUCACAGACUUCUCAAAGGACUAUGCAGAAUGGGCAGCACUGGAGAUUUCCCACGAUCUGGACGUCACUCCUGGGAGGCCGGUCCUGGCUGGCUCGGGUUAGAGGGGAGAGUCCAGUCCAACAGUCGGAGGCUGGAUCCUACCAUGUGUCAUCAGGACGCUCAUCUUUGGGGCACAGUGCCUCACCUGCUGAGCCUACCACAUGUUUCGUUAAAUGCAAGUGCGUGUGGACCAAAGGGAAGUGACCCGAACACCAUGGAGUCAAAGGAUGAAUGUGUGCAGGGUUGAGAAAUAGGGUUGUCAAAGCCAAAACAAGCUUGGUUUCUGUGUCCCCUGUUUCUUUUUAUUUAUUUAUUUAUUUAUUUUUUAUUUAUUUAUUUUUUAUUUUUUUCCCUGUUUCUUUUUCCACAGCCCUCUGCAUCAAUCGCCCACACAUCCAUCAGACCGGUGAAAAAUACCUCCAGAAAAUUUGAACCAGAAUCUUGAACUCUAAAGAGUUAAUGUAACAUUUAUUAAAGAAGCAUGAAUAUGUUUCAAACAAGUCACUUGUCAGAGUUUGGUUCGCUGGGGGGAUUUCGGCAAAAUUGUUUAGCCUUGCCUUUGAAGCUGUCACUUUAUGCGUGGGAUGAGGAGAAUUUUAAAGGCAAAUGGCAGGGCAUGGAUCUGCGAUCUGGAGGGGUUUUGUAAGUCUCUACUUGCCAGUUUAUCAGUGACAAUGACGUAUCUUACCAAUUCAUGGUAAAGACAAACCUGAUGAGGUAAUGCACCCUCUUAAUUAAUGAGCCUCUAAUGAAUAAAGCAUUGGCAAUGGCAGGUUGGUGGAAAAAU